GAGGUGACUUCUGCCCAGUGCUCUGAUUGUCAAUGCGAAGAGAUUCAGCCAAGCGCGGGUAAACGGCGGGAGUAACUAUGACUCUCUUAAGGUAGCCAAAUGCCUCGUCAACCAAUUAUUGACGCGCAUGAAUGGAUCAACGAGAUUCCUGCUGUCCCUAGUUGCUGGCUGGUGAACCAACAGCCAAGGGAACGGGCUUGGGUGUGUCAGCGGGGAAAGAAGACCCUGUUGAGUUUGACUCUAGUUUGCUGCUGUGCAGUGACAUGAAGGGUGUAGCACAGGUGGGAGACAAGCGCCAGUGUCUCUGGCGCCAGACCAGACCGGCUCAGCAGUGGGAGGACCCCGUGUCCCCCACCUCUUGGAGGAUCACUUGGGCAAGGCUCGUUUGUUGUGUGUGCCGGAGCAAGACUUUCAGAGAGAGGAGGCACACACACAGGACUGAAAGAAGAGACUCUCAGAGACGCCAAGGGGGAGGAUUUGGGGCACCCCCCCACGGACACAAGGCAGAGCAAGGCGGCAACCACCCAUGUGGUGGUGCCGGAGGCGGUGCAAGCCAACAGUGAAAUACCACUACCUUCACAGUCACUUUACUCAUUGAGUGGCCUGGGAACAGUCGCCAUACAUGAUCAGCCCGUCCCAAGGGGGUUCCGCCCCUGGACGGAUGGGCUGUGGCCCACCACUGGCUUCAUGCGCCAAGUGGACCACCAGUGUCCCCCCUGCGGGGCCUGCGUGGCACCCUCUGUGACCCUGGACAGAGUGCAGUCCAAUCAGAAGCCUCAAGACACAGAUCAGAUUGGGAGUUUGGCUGGGGCGGCACGCCUGUUACAACACAACGCAGGUGUCCUGAAGCAGUGCUCAGAUGGAACAGAAAUCUCUCGGAGAGGAGUAGGUCACAGGUGCUGCUGACGCAGCGACUUCCAGAGUGCAAGUCCAGAACACGGAAGUGUGGCCUAUCGAUCCUUUGGUCAAGCGACAGGGUUUGGGAUACUCAAAGCCAGAGGUGUCAGAAAAAUUACCACAGGGAUAACUGGCUUGUGGCAGCCAAGAGUUCAGAUCGACGUUGCUUUUUGAUCCUUCGAUGUCGGCUCUUCCUAGCUUGCCACCUGCA
rnacentral:rRNA from 1 species